UACAGAGGGUGCAAGCGUUAAUCGGAAUUACUGGGCGUAAAGCGCGUGUAGGCGGGUCUUUAAGUCAGGGGUGAAAUGCCAGGGCUCAACCUUGGAACUGCCUUUGAUACUGGAGACCUUGAGUCCGGGAGAGGUGAGUGGAACUGCGAGUGUAGAGGUGAAAUGCGUAGAUAUCGGGAGGAACACCUGUGGCGAAAGCGGCUCACUGGACCACAACUGACGCUGAGGCGCGAAAGCUAGGGGAGCAAACAGG
rnacentral:rRNA from 1 species